GUGCCAGCAGCCGCGGUAAUACGUAGGGGGCGAGCGUUGUCCGGAAUUACUGGGCGUAAAGGGUACGCAGGCGGUUUGAUAAGUCAGGUGUAAAAGGCAUUGGCUCAACCAAUGUAAGCAUUUGAAACUGUCAGACUUGAGUAUAGGAGAGGUAAGUGGAAUUCCUAGUGUAGCGGUGAAAUGCGUAGAUAUUAGGAGGAACACCAGUGGCGAAGGCGACUUACUGGACUAAAACUGACGCUGAGGUACG
rnacentral:rRNA from 1 species